rnacentral:rRNA from 1 species
GACGAACGCUGGCGGCGUGCCUAAUACAUGCAAGUUGAGCGCUGAAGGUUGGUACUUGUGCCAACUGGAUGAGCAGCGAACGGGUGAGUAACGCGUGGGGAAUCUGCCUUUGAGCGGGGGACAACAUUUGGAAACGAAUGCUAAUACCGCAUAAAAACUUUAAACACAAGUUUUAAGUUUGAAAGAUGCAAUUGCAUCACUCAAAGAUGAUCCCGCGUUGUAUUAGCUAGUUGGUGAGGUAAAGGCUCACCAAGGCGAUGAUACAUAGCCGACCUGAGAGGGUGAUCGGCCACAUUGGGACUGAGACACGGCCCAAACUCCUACGGGAGGCAGCAGUAGGGAAUCUUCGGCAAUGGACGAAAGUCUGACCGAGCAACGCCGCGUGAGUGAAGAAGGUUUUCGGAUCGUAAAACUCUGUUGGUAGAGAAGAACGUUGGUGAGAGUGGAAAGCUCAUCAAGUGACGGUAACUACCCAGAAAGGGACGGCUAACUACGUG